UUCCUUACUUGGAUUUGGCUUUGCAUUUGAAUUGGACCCAAAGAGCUUGGCUAUUUACCAGCUCUUUCUCUGAGAAUCCCUGAGGCGUAAAUGACGACGGAAGAGUUGAAGCCCGCCAACAUUGUUGUGCCGGAGAAUUCUUUAGAGGAUGAUAAGAACACUCCAUUGAUGAUGAUCGGCUCACCGCGAGCAGCAACCGGUCGACGACUUCUAUCCAAGCAGUCGAGUCAGAGGGCGAGCUGCUUGUGCUCUCCGACCACCCACGCCGGAUCUUUUCGUUGCAGGCUCCAUAGAAGUUCUCUCCACCACAACAACAGCCGUUCCGUCGGCUCGGGGCUCUCAGAGUUGGCCAACAAAUCGCCACCCAAUGGGAGUUCCGUGGAGGCAGGAUGAUCUUAGUUCUUCAUUGCUUCCCAACAUCCACCCCAUGAAAUCAAACGAGAGGACAUAGCUCUUGCUAAUCUAUUUAUUUUGUUCAUAUCCGUGGGGAAAGUUUGAGUUUCUUAUUAUCCAUACAUGUAUAUAAAGACAACAUUAGGUAUGUAUUGUAUGGUUUAUUUAAUGAAGCAUGCAUGAAUUCUAUCUUGUUUCUAUCA